CACACUUUUCCCCCCACCACAACUCUGUUGGUAUGUACCUUCAUAUACAUAUUUAUGCACCAGUUCUGUAUGUACAAGGUUUUUUUUAAUCCUGAUCCACUAGAAGUGAAGUGUUACAUCAGGAUAAGUACUUGUGGAUCAAUGAAAUAAAUCAGACAGGAGACCAAUUAAUUAAUGCUUUAGCAGCCAAACACAUUUUAAUAGACUUUGUAUUCCAAGAACACUCCCCUCCCCUCAAAAAAAAAAUAAAAAAAAAAUCUUGUCGUAGUUAUAAUGUGAAGCAACAGAGUUGCACAUAAUACAAUCAAAUGUUUUCUAAAACAAUGAAAAAAUAAGCCUGUUAAAAGCUCCCACGCUUCAUUCAAAACAAAAGAAUCCCCCCUCCCCAAAAAAACAACUCCUUUUCAGAAGACUCCACGUGUACAUCCCUUUUCCAAUCAAGGAUUUCUGCAACCAAAGGCUCCAUGAGAGAAAGGGGAUCAUAAUUAUCUACACACCUAUAUAUGUAUUUAAAAUAUAUAUUAUAUAAGUGUGCAUAACAGGUAUAUUUGAGAAGUUAGGAGCCUUUUUAAUCAGUGCAUCCAGGUAAUUCCUUGAUGCCCCCAACCAACUUCCUAAUAAAUUGGGUCUUUGCCUCUGAGUCAUAUGUAAGGAUACAGUACCAGCUGCUGCAAAAUAAAAACACAACAAAUUGUAAAACAAAGACUACGGUCUCAGCUUAUAUGUAUCUUAAUAAAAGAACAUUUCAGAUUGCAUCAAUCAGUGAAACAGGAUUCUCCUAAGUACCACAAUACUAUUAAGAUUUCAGACUUAAUGGUGGAAACACAUAAGAAAAGGGGGGUAAAAAUAGUAAUAGCAUUUGAUGGAUGGAUAUGUUGAAAUGUACUUGAGGUUGAGCAGGCCAAAGCAAAGAUCAAGGGUAUGGAUAACCUACACGACAAAGCGUGAGAUAUAUAUAUAUAAAAAAAAAAUAUGGUGGUUGAUUCAUUUUCAGCAAGAAUUUGUCUGGCCACACAAAGCCAUAACCAGCUCAAUAUGGCACUCAGGAAUGUAAUCAUUGCUUGCAAUGGCACCCACUGGGGUUGUGAUUAUGCCUGAUUGGUUAGCAAAACUGUCUGCCAGCUUCAGGUUUGGUCUCAAGCUACGGCUUACAAGUGGUGACUUAGAGACACUUCACAGAUAAACCAAUACAUGGAAAGAGUCAGUUUUUGCCAAAAACAAGUGACAUUCGGCAUAUUGUUUUUAGGCACAUUUUCAAAUUCCAACAUCAUUUACUGGCAUCAAAAUUUUGAUCUUUGAUGAUACAGUUCCUGCCUCUAAUUUUCCAGUCUAGAAGCAAAAUACAGCAAUGGGCCAAGUUCAAUAGAAGGUACACGAUGAGACACCUUCUGUCUUAUUACAUAGUAAUUCUGAUCAAAACUUCUUUGCAAAGCAUUAAGCAAAGAAAUUUCAAGGAACACUUGGAACGUAAAUCUGUAUUGAUAAAAGUUUUAAAGCAUACUAUGUAUUCACAUUAUAAUACAACUGCCAUCUAUGACAAAGAUCAAAUAAUAAAUAACCUAUAACUUUUGUUCUGAUGAUCCUUUUGGACGUGUCUGCAAGCCAUUAAUUUUACUUUAGUGGCUUAGUCAAAAUAAUUUUUGGUUUGUUUUAAGACUAACUUAUUACCUUAAACAACCAAUGAAAGCUUAAAUAAAAAACAAACAAACCAAAUGGCUUAUAUCUAGAAAUGAAAAAAACCAAUGCUGAAUGUUGACAGAUUAGAGAGAAAAGCAACAUUUUAGUGUGUAGAUCAUGACAAACAUUUGACUAGUGAAUGUUCAUGAGACAGUCCAUCUGUUAUGAACCGGAGAAGCCAUUUUUGACUCACUGUAGACUAAAUUGACUCGUAGCUCAUUCACUGAGACAUUCUGCAAGUUGACUUCCAACUUUUUUCAAACCGACGCUUAGAUAGCAGAUAAAUAUGUUUGGAAAGUGCGAUUACUAUCUAUGCAAUACAACUUUAAAACAGAAUUAAAUCCUCUCACCACCCACCCCCCCGAAACAGGUUUCUGCCAACUAUAAGACAUUACACAGACAACUAUGGCAUUGCCUUCGCAAGCAUGCUGUUACAAGAUUUCCUGUUAAAACCCAUCAGGUUUUCAAAAUAUAUUUGGUCAGAGGAGCAUGGACACAAGUUGUAAAAUGCACUUUUGGACACUGUUGAAAAGGGAAUAUUGGCUAUAAGAUGUUUACAAAAUAACGUCGGCAGCAAUGGAAGGGUGUUCAUGUUAAUAUAGACAAUAUUACACAAUGUUUUAGGAAGAAGAUUAGGGUGGGGCCAGUGCUGACCUGAUACACAUCUAAGGUUUGUAAACAAUAGACAGUCUUUUAAAACGCUGCCCCCAAUGCUAUUAAAUGGAGUAUAUAUAUACCUAUCCCCCUUUGUACUGUGUGAACCUUAUGUUGCAAAAUAGUAAAAUUAAGUGACCAUUUAAACUAACAAAAAAAAAAAAACACCAAAAAAAAUAGCAUUAGGACACUGAAAUAUAUUCAGAUUUGAACACGUUUUAAGAUAUUUUCAGAGCUGCAAUUGGACAUUGCCCCAUACAUGUAAGAUUUUCAAAAAAUGCUCUCAAGAACCUCCUGCCUCCCUAAAAACAAAAACAAAUACAAUUGACACAAAUCCAACAUCAGAAUGAAAACUUAAGAGCACAAAGGGGUAGUCUGAACACUUGUAAUUUCAGCGACAUACAGUAAUAAUAGAUUUUUUUUUGCUUAGUUGAGCAAAUUUUAAUUUUGUAACAAAACACUAAAGUUGUUUUUUUUUUUUGUACUUUUUUGUAAUAAAUGCGGAGGGAAUAGAAUGUAUUUCCCUUCCUUGUCAACCUGAAAUUUAGCUCAGUUUUUCCUGUUCCCUCCUAUAGGUGCAGUCUUACAAAAACAGUAUUUGGAGCUUUUUUAUUUUAGAAGCCAAGUCUAAAUAUGUUGCCAAAAUUUACAGUUCUGGAUUAACACACAAGCAGUUUUUGUUAAAAUGUUACCAAACAACUAUUCUUUUGCAGAUAGUGUACUAACCAAUUCAAACUGUAAGCUUCAUAAGAGGCAAAAAAAAUUGCUAUUUGGAAAAUCAGAUUAGAAAUGUUAGUCCAAGAAGUUCAUGAUUAUUAUUAAGUGUUAUUCACAGUAGUCCACAUAUGCCACAAUAACAGCCACAGAAAAAUGCUUAACCCUUUCCAAAUGCAUUUCCAAGAAGUAGCAUUACAAAUUAAACAGGCACAAUGUAAUAAUCUUUAUACAACCUCCAUGACUGGUAACAAUUUUUUGGCCUCUCUGGCAGUCGGUGUAAAUUUGACUUCUAGCUAUUUAAGAAAGGCAUCAAUUUUGAAAAUUAUGGGUUAAAAAAAUUACAACUUUUACUAUGCAAAGCAAAAUAGAUUAAAGCAUCUUUCAGAAUAUAUUUCUUAAUCUGCUGCUAUAUGAAUCACAACAGUCUGUAAAGAUGAAGUAGGGAAUGGAGGAUUAGGAAGGAGACCAGGUUCAUAUUCUGCAGUUUAAAACAAUAAAAAAACCUGCCAAACAAAAAGUGUAUGAAGCACCAAACUACACAAAUAGAAUGCAGUAAAUGUCUUGACUGAAAUGAGAACACAGGUUUUGUUUUGUUUGCAGGGUGCGCAAGGGAAUAGGGCAUAGGUAUGAAAGCAUCAUGUUCCAAUGCACAACUGCAGUGUUUGUUAGUAACAUUACUAGGCACAUCAAUUAAUGCCAUUUCUACUGCAAAAUUCCCAUUUAGCGUAAAAAUGUUGCCCUAUGUUAAUGAUUGAACAUGGGUAACUGAAAUGUAGUAGCCCUUUUAGAACAAUAUUAGUCUUCGCCUCUAAAUGGUUUAGUAACGUCUCAUUGCAUUGAAGUGAAAGGAUUACCAAAUUGCAGAUUUAAAGCCAAAAAUGGCCAUCCUGUAAGUACAGCAGAGUUUGAAUAUUUUGCAAGAGGAUUAUCAGAUCGUUGCAGUCCAGAGGGAGAGGGACUCUUGAACACUUUGCUUUAGAUUUUACACUUGCUGGUAACCUUGAUACAUUCACAUCAGACAGUUGGGUUUUAUACUCUUAAAAACAAAAGCAAGCUAGGUCGCAGUGCACACAACCUUCAAAAGUAGAUAAACCUGAGUGAUAAAUAAUAAGAGCCCAUGGGAUGCAUUUUAUGCAUAGACAAUAAUUAAAAAUAAAGCAAAAAUAGCAAUAGUGUAUAUUUUCCACUUGACACUUCUACAUUUCAGUUGUAAAAAGGCAGUAAAAAUUGGAUUUGAAAAAGGUAUUGCACAUAAAGGAAACUAGAUUUAAUCAGAACCAGAGAAAAAAUGUAAAUGUAAAAUACAUUACUAUAUUCACUAAUUUUUAUUUAAGUAAAUCUGCUUGAUUAAGUAAAAAUUAGUUUUUGAAACAGAAUUUGUUUUCUUACAUUAAAUGCCUAUCAAGCAGACCUCACUCUAUGAUGAGCAAACUAUGCACAAGCAUGCUUAAAGGUUUUAGGACAGUAUUCUCAAUAUUUGUCCCUGCAAUUGUUUGCUACACCUAUACACAAUUCCUUAGCACAGAUGUACACUAGAGGUUUAAUAGGGUCUACAUUGAGCUAUAGAUUCUGCUUUGCGAUUGCAUUUGAUUGCAAAUUAUAAUACUACUCCAUACACACACUGGUGCAAAGCCUAUAGACACACAUCAAUAUCAAAAUAUUAGGUUAGUUGCACAGGGUCCUGUAUGCCUCUAAACUGGUCACAAAGUGAGUUGGGAAGAUGAUCUUUGAUCAGGGAUAAAACCAUAAAAUAACAAAUAAAUGUAAAGUUACAUAACACAUUUUUGCAAUCUCAUUUUAGAUUUACCCUGCGACUAAAAGCAAAGUUUACUGCAGAUGAUACAAUAGGCAAAAUGGGCAGUGUCACCCCUCCAAUCUUUUCUUCAAAAAAAGGGAAUGUGAUCCUUUAAUCAGCUGACUGUCCCCUGACAUGAUACCGAAAGUGUUCAAUUUAAAUGCUCGGUAACUUGAUAGGACAUCAGAACUAGAUAGAACUAAUAGCUCUGCAAUAUAUUAAUUGUGUUUUUCAUUUACCUAUUGGAUAAUUGGGCAUUUAUGGGAAAGUACAAGAUUGUUUAUAGAAUACUUAAUAGGAGACAUAUAUAUAUAUACACACAUAUACAUA